AUCUAAAUAGUUUAAAAAAAAAUUUUAAUUUGUGGAAUUAAAGAUAUAAAAUAUUUAUUUUAGAUU
rnacentral:tRNA from 1 species